rnacentral:lncRNA from 1 species
CCAUUGUGAUUCUUUAUUUUACAAUGAAAUAAAUGAACAAAAUGGAUCGAGAAAAUGACCCCUUUAUAAAAUGUAAGUAAUUAUAUAUGUAUCGUCACGAUACCCAAAUUGCUCCGAGUACCUAAAUCAGUUGCACUUAGCAAAACAUAGUAGGGGAAGUCUUCCAAGAUUUACAAGAGACUAAACGUAUGCAUUUUUAUGAUUUGACAUUAUGCACGUCUUUCAACAUUGCUACAUAUUUGAAUACGCACAAAA